rnacentral:lncRNA from 1 species
GUGGGGGCAUGUAGGGGGAGGGUAUUAUAAAUGCAGAUCUCAGGCCCUCCGGAAGCUGCAAGAAGUGAUCUCACAGAUGCCAGUGACCCAGCCCUGAUUCAGCCCUGCCUAGCCCUGACCCUACUCUGGCCCCUCUCUGACCCUGUUGUCUCCACCCUGACCCCACUCUGACCCCACCUUGGCCCCUCUCUGACCCUGCUCUGUCUCCACCCUGAUUACUCCCUACCCUCCAUCUCACCCCUGCCCUGCCCUGAUGCUUUAACCCAGCAGUGACCUCUUCUUGACCCAAUCCUGACCCUCCUCAGACCCCACGCUGAACUCGUCCUGAUCAGCCUCAGCCCCAUUGUCACUCACGUGGAGCUAGGACGGAGGAUGAGUCCAUGGCCAACGUCUCAACCUCCUGGAACUCCCCCAACUGUCAUGGAACCUCCCCCCUGCCCCCAACUGCAGGCCACACUGCAGCCUGGAGGCCUGCCUGUGGACAGCAGGAGAGACCAAGAAACACAGAAGAAGGGACAGAGAGAUGCAAAGGCCAAGGGACAGGGCCUGAACCCCGGAGAGAGACCAACGGACUUCCAGGUAGCCAUGGAGGUGCCUGCAAGGAGGGGCUGAGGCAGUUGGCAGGCUGUUGAGUGCAUCUGGGGACUGACCUUGCCCUGCGUCUCCUCAUGUCCCAGAGGCCCCAAUCUGGCCACGAGAGCACCCAGCCAGAUUUCCAUCCAGAAUCUCCAAAUAACAACCAAGAUGAGACCCAAAACCCUUCGCCACUUACCUACAGGCCCCAGGUCAGUACUCAGGACUCUCCACCGAUUGUCCACAGUCGCCGGGUCAGUAUCCAAGAACCCCUGCCCAUUAGCCACAGUCGCCGGGUCAGUAUCCAAGAACCCCUGCCCAUUAGCCACAGUCGCCGGGUCAGUAUCCAAGACCCUCCACCAGUGAGCAGUCGCCGAGUCAGCAUCCAAGACACACCAUCCAUUUUCAGCAGUCGCCGAGUCAGUACCCAAGACACACCAUCCAUUUUCAACAGUCGCCGAGUCAGUACCCAAGACACACCGCCACUUACCUACAGUCGCUGGGUCAAUAGCCAAGAGCUUCUACCAGUUCUCCAAACUCGCCGCCCCAGCGUCCAAAGCCCUCCAUUGAUUACGCACACCACCCUGAGGAGUAUAGAAUCAAGUGACGACAGUAGUGAAGUCAGUCUCCCGGACCACCGGCCAAAAACUGGCAUCUGGCCGGUAAUCCGGGCCAAAGUCGACAUCCCCCCUUCAAUUACUGACAGCCCCGAGGCCAGUAUCAAAAGCAUGGAAUCGAUUACCUGGGCCUCCCAGGAGAGUCUCAAAGGCUCUACGGACAGCUCCCAAUUCAACCAAACUACUCUAGAGAAAAGCACCCUCAGCUCACCAUCAGGCCACGACUUUGAGGUCAAUUCUGGCAGACUUUCUGGACUUCUCCUGGGCCUUCCUCAUCAUCGCCAGCAUCACCAACGUCUGCCUCUGCAUCAUCCUCAUAAACAUGAACUUCUUCAGCUGGUCCAACAUGCCAGCACUGGACUUCACCAACAUCGUCCUCAGCAUCCUGACAGGCAUGGCACUGAGAUCCUUCCCUCAGGACCCAAGGCGAGGUGUACCCGGCCCAGUGCCUAUCGUGAUACCCAACCCCCCUCCACCUUACUCCAGUCCCAUCCCCAUCCUCACCUUCAUCCCUAAUCCCGGUCCUAUCUCCCUCCAAAUUUCCAACCCAUCCCAAUAAAAAUGUCAGCUUCCAACCCAACCCCAUCUCCAGCCCCAAUACCAGCCUCCACUUCACCUCCCAUCUCCAUCACCAACAAAUCUCAAGAUCAUUCACAUCCCCUUCUGUGAUACCCAUCCCCAUCCCUACCUCCAUUCCAAUUCUAUCUUCUAUCCAAUCUCCAAACCAUCCCCAACCCCUUUACAAAUCUCAACACCCAACUCAACCCCAUGCCAGACUCUCCUCAACACUCAUUCCAAAUCCAACCCAACUUUAUGACCUGUGAACCUCAACUUCAGACUCAACCCCAACCCAUCUGUGACCCCAUCUUCUUCUCAAUUUCCAACCUCACGCCCAACCACAAACACAAUCCCAUCUCUCUCACCUGUGAACCUCACUCUCAAACUCAACCCAACCCGUUCCCAACUCCAUCCUCUCAUCAAUCUCCAAUCCAUCCUCAUCCCUGCUCACAACCCAUCCUCAUCCCCAGCACCAGACUCAGCCUCCAUCCUUGUCACUCAAACUUCAACCUCUACCCAAUAUCCAACCCCAUUUCCCAUUCCAAUCCCAUCUCAAAUCCUGUCUCCCCACCUCCACUAGCUGGGUGAUUUUGUUCAAGCUACUCAAUCCUUCUGAGCCACAGUUUUCUCAUCUGAAGGAUGGGGAUAAAAUUUCCUACCACGCGGAGAUGUCAUGAGGAUUGAAUUAGAAAAUGUUGGUACUUGAUGGUAGCUAUUUCACUUUGCACGAAUCCUUAUGGUGAUAAUCCUCCCACCCCUACCCAAAUAACUCAAAAUUGAUAUUGUGAUUAGAAUAAUUUAGUUUUCCAUUGGCAAGCCAAGUCAUACUUUUGUUAGAAAAGAAGAUGGGGAGCACUUUAAUUUGGAAAUGAAGGAUAUUGCGUUCCCAUCUCUGGUAGUAAUUGACCCUAACUUUCAGUUGCAUCAAAGGAAGCACGUUCUUGGAGAGUGAAAAUGAGGCCAAGAAUGGAGAGCACUCAACUUCCUGUUUCCCUGUUAGUGAACGGUAUUCAUCCAAUUUGUCUAGCAGCUCUUCCUGAUUGUUUAGAUACGAGAUACAAAGUGUAGAAAACACCUCAGUUUUAUGCCAUCUUAAAUGGGACAUUUUUCUCUAAGAAAAUCAUUUUUGUCCAUUUCGCCUCUUAAUGAAAUGGAAAACACUUCCAAUAUUAUUUUUCGAUAACAUAAAGAAAAAAUUACCCAGUACUUCGACGACCCGAGCUAAAACCAAGUCUUUUCCUUUUCACAAAUUAGCUUUAAUUCAUGUCAUUUCAAAAUAAAGUUAAAAUAUCCAGAGUGACUGGGUUCCUUGUCCACUGCUUCAGAAGCCCCAAAAUUAAAGACCCAAUAUAGUGAUAAUAACCAAUCUCAAUUCUUGAGGAUUCACUGUGUGCCAGGACAUGAGCCAAUCUCAAUAAUUCCCCAUGACAGCCCAAGGAGAUGGGUCCCAUGAUUAUGCCCACUUUACAGAUGAGGGAAAUGAGGCUCAGAGAGGUGGAGUUGCUGCCCUAGCUGGGUGGCAGAGGCAGGACAAGAGCUCCAGUCUGUUGGCCCCACAACCUGUGAUUUUAGACACCACCAUCACCUGGUUAAAGACCAAGGCUCCAAUGUCCUCUACCAUGACGUUGUGGGAGCCCAUUUUCCUGCUCGUGAGCAGAGGUACAGGGAGGUAAAAGAAAGUGGGAAAAUAAUGAGCAAGAGCUGGGCGGCCACACAGCUGUGGGACAGGGGUCCUCACACAGCUGACGCCUGGCCUCCUAACACCUGUACUUACACAGGGACGAGCACGAUCUUGGGUGUCUUGUGCUACCUGCUGCAGGCUGACGAGUUCCUGCAGGAAGGCAUGACCUACAGGCUGGGGCGGAGCUUCUACCUGGCAUGGACCAGCGUCUUCUUCUUCAUGAUGACUGGUUUCUUGUCCUAUCUCAACUACAUGAAUUUCUGGUCCAUCCUGGCGAUCCAGGCUGUCUGGACUUAGGACGUGGGAAUGACCCCGCCUCUGACCUGCUCCCACAGCUCGCUGCCAAGCACCUGGCAGGACUUUUUCAGUCUCUUCUGAAUCCCUCCCCAACUCAGAUUAAUAAUUUGUACUUUUAAAUAAUCUGUAUUUUUCGCCCAAAAUAUUCUUUUAGCUCAGUACCUUGUAAAUGUUCUUUGGAAAUGCCAUCCCUCCCUGGGGCCAUCCCUCAGGCCCUCCAGGCUAGAGGGACAGGUGAGGAAAGGGGCUCAGGGGAAAGAGACUCGAGGCACAAGGUCAGCAAAGAGGCUGAGCCGAUGGCUCCUGGC